rnacentral:rRNA from 1 species
UACCAGCACCCCGAGUGGGCGGGACGUUUAUUGGGCCUAAAGCAUCCGUAGCCGGUUCUACAAGUCUUCCGUUAAAUCCACCUGCUCAACAGAUGGGCUGCGGAAGAUACUAUGGAGCUAGGAGGCGGGAGAGGCAAGCGGUACUCGAUGGGUAGGGGUAAAAUCCGUUGAUCCAUUGAAGACCACCAGUGGCGAAGGCGGCUUGCCAGAACGCGAUCGACGGUGAGGGAUGAAAGCUGGGGGAGCAAACCGG